rfam:Cavia porcellus supercont2_38 genomic scaffold, whole genome shotgun sequence.
CCAAAGGCCCUUUUCAGGGCCACCACUUUAUCACACUAAGGGCUG